rnacentral:tRNA from 2 species
GCCGGAAUGGCGGAAUAGGCAUACGCGAACGCCUCAAAAGCGUUUGUCCGCGAGGGCAUGUGGGUUCGAGUCCCACUUCCGGCACCC